CAGUUGGAAACGACUGCUAAUACCGCAUAAGCCCACGGGUCGGCAUCGACCAGAGGGAAAAGGAGCAAUCCGCUUUGAGAUGGCCUCGCGUCCGAUUAGCUAGUUGGUGAGGUAAUGGCCCACCAAGGCAACGAUCGGUAGCCGGACUGAGAGGUUGAACGGCCACAUUGGGACUGAGACACGGCCCAGACUCCUACGGGAGGCAGCAUG
rnacentral:rRNA from 1 species